GACGAACGCUGGCGGCGCGCCUAACACAUGCAAGUCGAACGAGCGAGAGAGAGCUUGCUUUCUUGAGCGAGUGGCGAACGGGUGAGUAACGCGUGAGGAACCUGCCUCAAAGAGGGGGACAACAGUUGGAAACGACUGCUAAUACCGCAUAAGCGCACGGUGCCGCAUGGCACAGAGGGAAAAGGAGCAAUCCGCUUUGGGAUGGCCUCGCGUCCGAUUAGCUAGGUGGUGAGGUAACGGCCCAACAAGGCGACGAUCGGUAGCCGGACUGAGAGGCUGAACGGCCACAUUGGGACUGAGACACGGCCCAGUCUCCUACGGGAGGGAGCAGUGGGGAAUAUUGCACAAUGGGGGAAACCCUGAUGCAGCGACGCCGCGUGGAGGGAGAAGGUCUUCGGAUUGUAAUCUCCUGUUGUUGGGGAAGAUAAUGACGGUACCCAACAAGGAAGCGACGGCUAACUACGUG
rnacentral:rRNA from 1 species